rnacentral:rRNA from 1 species
UACGGAGGAUCCAAGCGUUAUCCGGAAUUACUGGGCGUAAAGAGUUGCGUAGGUGGCAUGGUAAGUUGGUAGUGAAAGCGUGCGGCUCAACCGCAUAUACAUUACCAAAACUGCCAAGCUAGAGGACGAGAGAGGUACCUGGAAUCCCAGUGUAGGAGUGAAAUCCGUAGAUAUUGGGGAGGAACACCGAUGGCGUAGGCAGGGUACUGGCUCGUUCCUGACACUAAGGCACGAAAGCGUGGGUAGCAAACGGG